rnacentral:ncRNA from 1 species
AAGGUUUGGUCCUAGCCUUGGAGUCAGUUAUUAUUUAACCUACACAUGCAAGUUUCCGCACCCCUGUGAAAACGCCCUCAAACUUCCCCAUAGGAAGCAGGAGCCGGUAUCAGGCGCACUCUUUCGCCCAAAACACCUAGCCUCGCCACACCCACAAGGGAAUUCAGCAGUGAUCAACAUUGAGUAUAAGCGACAGCUUGACUCAGUUAAACUAACUAGAGCCGGCCAAUCUGGUGCCAGCCGCCGCGGUUACACCAUUGUGGCUCAAAUUGACUUUCACCGGCGUAAAGCGUGAUUUAAGAACAUCUAUAUUUUGGAGCUAAAUUUGAACUAAGCUGUGACACGCUUGUUAUCUAAGAAACUCAGAAACGAAAGUUGCUCCAAUCAAUUCAACUUGAAUUCACGACAACUGAGAAACAAACUGGGAUUAGAUACCCCACUAUGCUCAGUCGUAAACUCUUUACCUACACAUCUAUUUCGCCUGGGAACUACGAGCCAAGCUUAAAACCCAAAGGACUUGACGGUACCCCAUAUCCCCCUAGAGGAGCCUGUCCUAUAAUCGAUAACCCCCGUUUAACCUCACCACUUUUAGCAAACUCAGCCUGUAUACCUCCGUCGUCAGCUUACCACGUGAGCGUAAGUGAGCUUAAUGUUUAUUCAACUAAACGUCAGGUCAAGGUGCAACAUAUGAAGUGGGAAGAGAUGGGCUACACUUUUUAACAUAGAAAAUACGAAAGACUAUUUAUGAAACCUAGUCAGAAGGUGGAUUUAGAAGUAAAGUGGAACCAGAGAGUCCCCUUUAACCCGGCACUGGGGUGUGUACACACCGCCCGUCACCCUCCUCAAUGCUACAAAAAAGUUCAUAACACAUUUUAGCUAUACAGAAGAGGCAAGUCGUAACAUGGUAAGUAUACCGGAAGGUGUGCUUGGAAA